AAAAACAUAUUUAUUGAAUUUCAGUUACUGAAAUACAAUCAUGUUCAGAUCCAAAAAUUGAAGAAGACAAAGACAAUAUUUUUACUAAAGAUUAUAUGACCCAAUAUAAUGAAAAAGACACGCCAGAGAAAGCUGAUUGGAAAAGUAUUUUAAAGCACCUGGGGAUAAAUGAAAAAUUGAUAAAUGUUGAAGAGGAGUAAAUGUAAGAUUAAAAAACCGGUGACUAAACAUCCGACGAAAGUACGAUUUAAAAAUAUAUACCUCAACAUAUUCAAUAAUUAUAAUUAAAUAUAAUUUUUAUAGUAUUUUAGUAUACUCAUUAAUAUGUAUCUUUAAAAUUAUUAAAAUUUUACUAUCUGCAGUCAGAUAAAUUGAUAUGAUUUAAAGUUUAAUCCUAAAACAAAAUAUAAAUGUUUAAUAAUAAUCAUUGUUAUAGUAUAAGAUUAUAAAUUAUUAUUAUAUUGCAAGAAAUAAAUUAUAUUUUAUUUUAUUCAUACAUUAAAAAUAUAAUAGUGUGGUAUAUGCUUAUAUAAACAUAUAUAAUAAAUAAUACAUAAUUUAUUAUAAAUAAAAAUUAAAUAGAAUAUUUUGUAUUUCCGAAUAUUUUGUACCCAGAGUUUUGACCAAUAAAUGCAGAGAUUCCCAACUAGGGUGCCGCGAACUUUAUUUAGGGUUCCGCGAAAUUAUUUGAAAUAUAUUUUUUAAGAAAAAACGAUUUCAUGAAAAAUAAAAUAUAACAUUGUGUGUAAUAAAACAGACUAUAAUAUAAAACCUAAUAAUGGUUUCAUAUAAUUUGUAGAAAUAUUGUGUUGUUCAAUCUAUUUUAAUGUUCAUACUUCGAUGUGUAGGACUGUCAAAGUUAUCACUUUACCACUUAUUUAUGGUGAAAUACUUGUGACUUUAUCUAAAUGUUCGUGAUAAUAUUUAUAGCGGGUUACCUAAAUGAUCGCGAUAAUAUUUAUAACGGGAUACCUAAAUGUUCGUGAUAAUAUAUAUAGCAGGAUACCUAAAUGUUCGUGAUAAUAUGUAUUGCGGGACAAUGGAAUCUUCGUGAUAAUAUUUAUAGCGGGAUACCUAAAUGAUCGUGAUAAUAUUUAUAGCGGGAUAGUUAAAUGUUCGUGAUAAUAUAAAAAGUGGGAUACCUAAAUGUUCGUGAUAAUAUAUAUAGCGGGAUACCUUAUUUCUCGUGAUAAUAUAUAUAGCGGGAUACCUAAAUGAUCGUGAUAAUAUUUAUAGCAGGAUACCUAAAUGAUCGUGACAAUAUAUAUAGCGGGAUACCUUAAUGCUCGUGAUAAUAUAAAAAGUGGGAUACCUAAAUGUUCGUGAUAAUAUUUAUAGCGGGAUACCUUAA